UGUGUUUUGUGAAGUAGGACUCACGUGUGCCGUUCGUGACAAAAAAAUUCGUUCGUGGUGCAAUCAUCGAUUCUUCGUCGUCACACUAUUUAUUCGCUAUUACCUGUUGCUGUCACUGAGAAUAUUUCACAUGGAUAUGUGUGCUUCUCACGAGCAUUGCUUGUAUUAAUGUUAUUUCUCUUGUGUGCAAUUGGGUUAGAAGGCAACGAGUGAAGCAAAAAGGGCCGCCGAGGCUUGGACUGGGCAGAAAAAGAUUAGUGAGCUAUGAGAUGAAUUUGUGACCGUCGAACUAAUAAUCUUUGUUAAUCGUUGGCGAAAAGAGGACAGAAUGCGACCCCGGUGGUCGACAAGAGACCCAGGUGACUGGAAUGCCAUGGCCUGGAGCGUAGUAGCGGCGACCGCUAUCACCCUUAUCUGUUUCUGCGUUGAUUUCUUUGGAGCGGCUGAUGAAAGUGAAGAUUAUAUAUCUUCUAGAGAAAUUACGGCUAGAUCUAACUCCGGUUUUUUUUCGCCCCGUUCAUGGCUGGGUGGGGCGGCCCUCGACGGCGAUUUAGUGCAUGAUGACAUCGUAGCAAUUGUGCGAAAUCCCGAUGUCGUCGGAUGCGGAUCGGGAUCAGUAGUUGCAAACAGUGGUGAGAAUCGAGUUGAGGCUACAAUCAGUGGCGGGAUUAUUGCAUCAAGAGUGGAAUCGUCGACUGCUCCUAUCGGUGAUGUCGGAGGAACAAGUGCUGCCGCGUGCCCAUGGUUUUCAUGGACGAUAUGGACGAACGACUUUUGGGGAACGCCAAUGUCGAGUACGGAAUCGCACAAAAGCUACCGACCACUCACCGUACUCACUUUCAGGUUGAACUAUUUAUAUGGAGGCCUGUCACACACCCGGAGCUAUCAUGUGGUAAACAUACUACUACACUGGCUUUGUUGCAUUCUGUUAGGGGAGCUGGCCAGCCGACUUUUUUGCUCAACUUCAGUGGAACGAACUUCGAGAAGUACCCGGUCCGAAAGCCUGGGAUCAUUCAGCUUCGGAGCGAACCCUGUUGGCCGACGAAAUGAUCAGCAGUACUUUAGCACCGCACUUGGAUUACGCGUCGCCGUUAUAUUGAUCUUUGGAGGCCAGCCAGUUCACACUGAAGCGGUGACAUCGAUUGUGGGUCGGGCCGAUCUUCUUUGCGGUGUUUUCUAUCUGCUGGCGUUAUUAACGUUCAUGUCUUCAUGUGAUAAUGACGAACCACAUUUUGCCCCGGUACAGGAUCAGUUGAUUACCACCGAUGGACUAAUGUUUCAAUAUGACGCCUCUAAUAACGUCACAACAGCUAGAGUCAUACGGAAGACCAGCGAAUCGCAGCAGAUCAUGCAGUUAACUAGACUAAAGUUGUGGCUUUCAAUGGUGUUUGCUAUACUGGCGUUACUUAGCAAAGAACAAGGUCUUACAGUUUUCGGCUUAUUCAUCAUCUAUAGAUUGAGGAUACUAUGCAAGCGAUCUGAUUCCAGUUUUCACUGUUCAGCGCGCGUUACAGGUCAAAGGCGUCUGGGUCUCAUGGCUUUAUCUCCAUCGUUGUCUCGACCCAAUCGGCCAACGCAAUGGGUUGCAGCGGACGAAUACCUUCAGGUUUCACUAGCCGUUCUUGCAGGACUGGUGGCGUUUCGCGUAGCCAUGCUGGGCGGCAGUCUACCCCGAUUCUCAGAGCACGACAAUCCCGCGUCGCAUCAUCCUCAUUUAUUGACCAGGGCACUGACGUAUGGCUACCUGGCGGUAAUGAACGUGGGAAUCGUGAUGUGGCCACAGGUGCUGUCCUACGAUUGGCAGAUGGGCUCGGUACCCCUUGUGCACUCGUUAAGAGAUGGCCGUAAUUUGGCCACUUUGCUUCUUGUGGUAGCCGUUGCGGAGCUUGUCCGGCGUAGUCUUAACAGUGACUUUCGGGCGCUUAUAUCUGGACCACCCAUUUCGACUGUAAAAGAAAGCCUUGACCCGUAUAGUCCUCAUCGUCAACACAAUGACGUGCGAAGGCUCACGGGAAUUCGUGCUGAAGCACAAGGGGACAUCAACGAAGCAGCUGGUGGUCUUGACGACGACGGGGGAAACAGUGCUAGCAGAAGUCCUGUGUUGUUAAUGAGCGUCGCGCUGAUAAUUCUGCCUUGGUUGCCAGCGUCCAACCUGCUGGUGACAGUCGGCUUCGUCUUAGCCGAACGCGUACUCUAUAUCCCCAGCAUGGGCUUCUGCCUUUUGCUGGUUGAGGGACUCAGGCGGUUGUUCGCGGCUAUGCGAGACAGUAGUGCCAGACCAGCUAGUGGCUCAACACCAUUGUUUUCCUGGAAUCGCCAUCAGAAAAUUGUACUAGUUUCACUCUUGCUUCUGAUCACAUUGAACGCGAUACGUACGGUGCGGCGGAACCGUGUUUGGAUGACCCGGGAAACCCUAUUCGAAUCUGGAGUCCGCGACCUGCCUUCGAACUGCAAAAUGCAUUAUAACUAUGCCAACCUCAUGCGUGACCUUAGGCGUAAUGAGAAAGCCGCUCUUCACUAUAACACGGCUAUCGAGCAAUGCCCAACUCACGCAUCGGCUUAUAACAAUCUCGGAACAGUUGUCGAGUCCCAGGCUGAAGCCGAAAAACAUUUUAGACGGGCGAUCAACAUCAACCUUCAUCAUGCCGGAGCCCACUACAAUCUCGCCAUGCUUUACCGUCGGAAGGGACAAAUAGAAGUGGCGCGUGGACUCCUGGAACGCUCUCUAGCGUUGGACGCGUCCCUUGCGGAGGCGGCCUCAUCGCUAGCAGAGCUUGAAAGACAACAGGGCCGCACCAGCAAAGCUGAGACUCUACAUCGUCGCGCCAUUAAACUCAAUAGCCGUUCUGCGCCCAUUAGGAAUAAUUACGCCACUUUUCUGCAUGACCAAGGUCGCGUCCUUGAGGCCUCCGAACAAUUUAAGCAGGCCAUCGCACUCGAGCCAGACAACACUGUGGCUGUACAAAACGCCGCUGAGGUCAUGCGUGAGUUAUCUGUCGAUCAUGAAGCUGAGAGUCUUUAUAAAAGGGCCCUGUUGUUGAAUUCUGACGACGUGUCAAUUAUGGAUCAACUCGCAGUUCUUUACUUCAAAACUGACCGUCUUCACGAAGCCGAAGAGCUCUUCAACCGAAUACAGCAAACGCAGCCUUACCAUCGUGAAAGUCGCUUGCAUUACGCGCAAAUGCUUCUGUCACGUGGAGAUACAACAAACGCUGAACAUGUUCUCACCGAAACUUUAGAAAAGACCGGCGAGGGUUGGCGUGAUGGACUUCGUCAGAUGGCUUUGCUGUGCAGUUAUACAAAUCGGAGCCUCGAGGCAGCCGUAUGGAUCAGAAAAGCGUUACAGCUUUGCCCGACGGAAGGUGUUCGUGAGUGUGCACCGCUUCAUGCUGAUUAUGGGGAUAUUCUUAAGGAUCUCAGUCAUCUAAACCGAUCCGCCGAGUGUUAUACAGAAGCGAUAAAACUUCAGCCUGAUCUUGCCCACGCUCAUAUCAACCUCGGGGUCAUCCGACAUCUUCAGGGUGACUAUUCGUCGGCGUUUCAUCAUUAUACUGUUGCCUAUACGUUGGAGCCCACGAACACGCUUGUCAUCGAGAACAUGGAAAAACUUCGAAAACGAAUUCUCAAAUCGUUCCGACAGCAUCGAACGGUCAUCGAUGCAGCGUUCGAAAUGAGCUGAGAUAAUCGGCUGGGUACGGGAUCGGCCUUCCUAAUCCUAGCGCUCUCAGCGACAGCAGUGAAAACCUCCUACUCUCGACGCUUUUCCUACCAAAGAGGAUCACGUCUGUUUCCUGGAUCACCAAGAACCGAUACAUUUGCAAGCAUUCGAACGGCAAAAGGGGAAACGAUUAGGAAAGCUGUCCUGCUAUUAGAACGGGUGGUCUAAUUGACGUUUCGAUUAGUGGGUUACUAUCUACAAAAGGUGAGUAAAAAAGAUCAGUUACGUUUAAAUGGUGUUCUUAAGACGAAGAGAUUAGUUGGAUUAUCAAUUAUACAUGUAGAAAGACAAAUAUUUUAAUCAAUAUGUGCCCGGACGAAGCCGACAAGUUACUUAGUGCCUACAAUCUACGCCAGCUUAGUUAUUCGACAGAAGCCGAUAAGCCAUUUAAAUGGGUCAGUACUUCGUGACCCGAAAUUCCUUUGCCAUCCGAUUUGAUUACUACUUAUCGUAGAUCCAUUUAAAUGGAGGUGAGAAGUAAAACAAGAUAAAUUUGUCAAAUAUUUAUGUGCGCAGAACUUCUGCAAACAUGUCUUCGUAACACGCUUACCUUUUGAUUUGCCUCACCUAGCCACGCGCAAGCCAUUAUCCACGAGCUAUCUCCGAUUGACGAGCGUACAUAGCAUCAACGAAUAUGUGGAUGGGACUAAUUAUAAUUGAGUGAAGCUUAGUUUUGAAAAACAAAACGCAUCUAAAUAUGUCCGGCUUCGACUACAAACUAUGAAAUUUCCGACAGUUUUGGAGGUACGCAACAAAGCGGAAAACGACCAUUUUCCGGAUCACUGUCAGCAAUCUGGCUCAAUAAGCUACAUGCCCUACAUUCCUGCCUAAAAACCGGACGUAAUAUUCCGGCGUAAUAACUACGGCAACGACGAGGUCGAUUUAUUUGGCUUAAUUAUCUAUUGGAAUAUAGUAUCGUUCUCAGGAGCGUUUCACUCUUAUUUAACACAAACGUAUUUGAUCUACAUCUCGAAUACAUUUACAUCAAAUAAAUACUACAAAUAUCUAUCUUAGAUAUUUGCUCGUUUCGGCCCUUAGUUAUAAUAGGCUCAUGGUGAGCUGAUCGCGACCGCGCAAGGCAAAGGAUAACUGGGCCUGGAUUAGCUACACGGAAAAUUGGACAAGUGGAACUGCAACAGAACUACAGCGAAAUGUGAAGCCACAUAAUUUUGUAUUUUACUGUGAUAAGCAAUGCAAGAUCUGUACAUUAAGGAAUAAACACAAGAUUGUGUACAUAUACACACAAGCACAUAUAUAUGAAGAAAUCUCUAUAUGUAUGAUCAUAAAAUAGAAAGGGAUAAACAAAUAAGAGCGAGAGCGAAAGAUACGAACUUAACGUAAACAGACAAGCAAAUAAAAUUGAAAAAGUCUAAUAGAUAUACAUGAAGUAGAGGUAGAUAUGAGCGAGCCGUGGAUGAUUGAUGAAUCCAUAACGUUUUUGAGUAACAGUGAAGAAGAGCUGCGACAAAAGAACUGUAUACCAAAUGAAAUAUGAUGCACAGAAAAAAAAAAAGACAAAUUAACUAAACGAUGUAUGGAAACGUGAAAGAUGUAUUACUGAUAAAAUCAUUAACCGUGUAGUAAAACUAUGACAAAAUAAAAGAUAAAUCUAUUUUUACA